GAUGAAGAACGUAUCGAAAUGCGAUAAGUAAUGUGAAUUGCAGAAUUCAGUGAAUCAUCGAAUCUUUGAACGCACAUUGCGCCCGCCAGUAUUCUGGCGGGCAUGCCUGUCCGAGCGUCAUUUCAACCCUCGAACCCCUCCGGGGGGUCGGCGUUGGGGAUCGGCACUUACCUGCCGGCCCCGAAAUACAGUGGCGGUCUCGCCGCAGCCUCUCCUGCGCAGUAGUUUGCACACUCGCACCGGGAGCGCGGCGCGUCCACGGCCGUAAAACAACCCAAACUUCUGAAAUGUUGACCUCGGAUCAGGUAGGAAUACCCGCUGAACUUAAGCAUAUCAAUAAGCGGAGGA
rnacentral:misc_RNA from 1 species